AAAUAAAAUAAAAUAGAACACCUUUGUAUCUGUUUGCUUCUCUGCCUUUGCUAUAUUUUUGAACUCUUUUUUUUUUAUAUAUUGAUUAUAACAAAAAAACCCCUUACAAUGGUUGUUUUGUGGCUUUUUAUAGCCGAAAAAUACAACAAAAUAUAUAUUUUUGCUACUAUUGCUAUUUUCUCACCAUUGUAGGUACAUGGAGACGUGGAGGUGCAGGCGUGUCGUCAUGGAGGCGCGAGUGGCGACGUGAGAUGUGGCGCUGGAGGCUGCGGCAAGGGUUCCUUCCCCUCUUUUUUUUGCUGAAAAAAAUUAAGGUUAUGAGCUUGAGUAUUGGGGUUUAGAAUUAGGUUAAUUUUGGAUUAUUGAGUUUUGUAUUUAGGUACUUGGGCUUGCUGUUGUAAAUAGACAAUUUUUGGACAUUAUUAUUUUUGGUUUAAAUUUGUUUUAUUUUGUAAUCUAGGCCUGGACUAAAAUUGGGUCUUACAGUAAAUAUAUAUUGUUGAACCUAAUUUUACCUGGCCCAAGACCCAUUUACAUCUAAAACACAGACCCAAACAAUUAAACCCAAUACAAGCCCAUUACCCAAGAUCUAACAGAACACAAAAGAAAAAGGAGGAAGCAAAACCCUAGCCCCACUUCUCAGUGCCGCAAGCCCCGAGUCCGAGUGCCGCACGUCACGCAUCUCCGAGUCAUGUGCUCGUCUACCUCCGAGAUAGCUGCAAUUACACCUAUGAAGAGAGGCCGAACAUUCGGCCACCAAAACGGUUGUAAAAAGGCUUUAAAAGCCGAGAACACAAAUGUAAAAGGGGGAUUUUUUUUUCUUUACGAAAUCAGGAGAGAAAUACAUAAAAGAAAGAAAGAUAGCAAGUUUUUUUUUGAAACGGAACUUCCAUACAUUCGAAUAAGGUGAUUAUAGUCCUCCUAUUUCAAGUUUUUUUUGUUUUAUCGCGGAUAUUUUUUCCUUCCUUUUUGAAAUACAACAGAGUUUUUAAAAGGGAUUUUAGAAAGGAUUGGAGGGACCUUACCUGGCUCUCUCCCCAGUCGCCGUCGCGGUGCGUAUGUGGAGGAGUUGCGAUGAUGGGCGUGGUCACCGGCCCUAGUAAAUGGAAGAAGGGUGAAAGCUCAUUUAUUUUCUUUUCAAUUUCGGUAAAUGGGAAUAGGGGGUCUUUAAUUUUGGUUUUAGAAUAUGACAGACAGCCAUCAUUUUUUUGGUUUUAAUUACAAAGAGAACAGCGCCACUUCAUUUUUUUGGUUUUAUUACGCAUUAGGUCCUCCCCUGUUGCGUAGUCGUUUGUUUGAGCCUUUUCUCUGUUUAUUAUGCUUUUUUAAAAUUUAUGCUAGACAUUUACGCGCCUUUCAUUUUAAUCCUGUUUUAAAUGUUGUACAUUGGGAGAGGGGGAUUUUUGCUAUUCUGGUCCGAAUAAUGAGACCCGAUGUAGCAAUGAAAAUAAAGGAAGAAGUCAAAGAGCAGUUUGAUGCUGGCUUCUUACAGGUGGCUAAUUACCCGGAGUGGGUGGCCAACGUCGUCCCUGUCCCUAAGAAAGAUGGGAAAGUGCGAAUGUGCGUAGAUUACAGAGAUCUAAAGAAGGCCAGCCCAAAGGAUAACUUUUCGUUGCCUCACAUUGACACCCUAGUGGAUAAUACGGCGGGUUAUUCACUGUUCUCCUUCAUAGAUUGGUUCUCUGGGUACAAUCAGAUUAAGAUGCAUCCGGAAGACAUGGAAAAAACAACGUUCAUAACUUUAUGGGGGACAUUUUGCUACAAGGUGAUGCCAUUCGAGUUAAAAAAUGCGAGAGCAACGUAUCAAAGAGCCAUGGUAACCUUGUUUCAUGACAUGAUGUACAAGGAGAUCGAGGUCUACGUUGACGACAUGAUUGCCAAAUCCCGAACUGAAGAGGAGUAUGUGCGAGUUUUGAGGAAAUUGUUUCUGAGGUUGAGAAAGUUUCAAUUAAACCUCAAUCCGUCAAAAUGCACCUUUAGAGCUAGGUCCGGGAAGUUACUUGGUUUCGUGGUCAGUGAGAAGGGAAUAGAGGUAGACCUUGAUAAGGUCAAAGCUAUACAACAGUUGCCUCCGCCACGCACUCAGAAGGAAGUCCAAGGUUUCCUAGGGAGACUAAAUUACAUUGCUCGGUUCAUCUCGCAACUAACUGAGAAGUGUGACCCCAUAUUCCGCCUUUUUAAAAAGCAUAAUCCUGGUGUUUGGGAUGAUGAGUGCCAGAAAACUUUUGAGAAGGUUAAACAGUACUUGUCCAGUCCCCCGUGCUAACACCACCUAACUCUGGUAGGCCAUUGAUAUUGUAUUUAACAGUAUUUGAUAAUUCAAUGGGAUGUGUGCUCGGCCAACACGAUAGGACUGGGAGGAAAGAAAAAGCGAUAUAUUAUCUCAGUAAAAAAUUCACUGAGUGUGAAAUGAGAUAACCCCCAAUUGAGAAGCUAUGAUGUGCUUUGGUUUGGAUAACACGAAGGUUGAGGCAAUACAUGUUGUACCAUAAGACCUGGUUAAUAUCAAGGUUAGACCCUCUCAAGUACAUGAUGGAGUCAACCGCCUUGAAUGGAAGAAUGGCCCGAUGGCAAAUGUUGCUAUCUGAAUUUGACAUAGUCUAUGUAAACCAAAAGGCUGUGAAGGGGAGUGCAAUAGCAGAUUUCCUAGCUAGCAGAGCUUUGGAGAAUUAUGAACCCUUGAAUUUCAAUUUCCCCAAUGAAGAUCUAAUGUAUGUGGCAGCCACUGAAAAAGACACGCCCGAGGAUCGUCUUUGUAAAUUAAACUUUGAUGGGGCAUCAAAUGCCGUUGGCAAUGGAGUUAGGGCAGUACUGAUAUCCCCAAAUGGAGAUCAUUAUCCAUCCACUUGCAAGUUGGAUUUUGACUGCACAAACAAUAUGGCAGAAUAUGAGGCAUGUAUCAUGGGAAUUCAGGCAGCUAUAGACCGUGAAAUCAAUGUGCUAGAAGUGUAUGGAGAUUCUGCAUUGGUAAUUUAUCAGCUUAAAGGUGAAUGGGAAACAAGAUAUCCCAAAUUAAUCAAUUACCGAAAGUUAAUCCUGGAGUUAAUUGAGGAGUUUGAAGAUAUCACCUUCCGUUACCUCCCACGAGACGAGAAUCAGAUGGCUGACGCCCUGGCAACACUAGCUUCCAUGAUCAAAGUAAAUGAACAGGUGGAUAUGAAGCUAAUUCAGAUGAGUAUUUGUGAGGCUCAAGCUCACUGUUGUAAUAUCGAUGAAGAGGAAGAGCGAGAUGAUCAUCAUUGGUAUCAUGAUAUCUUACAAUAUAUGAAGAACUGGGCAUACCCUGAUCAAGCAACCGAAAAUGAUAAAAAAAUAUUGAGGAGGUUAGCCAGUGACUAUGUCCUAGACGGAGAGAUCCUGUACAAAAAGAGGAAGGAUCAAGUGUUGCUAAGAUGUGUUGACGCCGUUGAGGCAAAGAAAAUCCUAGAAGAAGUUCAUGAUGGCGUCUGUGGGACACAUGUUAACGGCUUCACGAUGGCUCGACAAAUCAUGAGAUUCGGGUACUACUGGUCCACAAUGGAAGGAGAUUGCAUCAAUUACGUUAAGAAGUGCCAUAAGUGCCAAAUCUAUGGAGACAAAAUCCAUGUGCCUCAUUCACCCCUCCAUGUCAUGACUUCUCCAUGGCCUUUCUCGAUGUGGGGCAUGGACGUCAUUGGGCCAAUUUCGCCGAAGGCUUCCAACGGGCACCGAUUCAUUUUUGUGGUUAUUGAUUACUUUACCAAAUGGGUAGAGGCACUUCAUACGCUAAUGUCACGAAGUCGACAGUUAGUAAGUUCUUGAAGAAGGAAAUCAUAUGUCGUUAUGGUAUGCUAGAAAAGAUCGUAUCUGACAACACGUUGAAUCUGAACAAUAGCGCGAUAGCGGAAGUCUGUAGUCAGUUCAAUAUUAAGCACCACAAUUCGUCACCAUACCACCCGAAAAUGAAUGGAACAGUAGAGGCAACUAAUAAGAAUAUCAAGAAUAUCGUGGGGAAGAUGGUUGAAACUUACAAAGAUUGGCAUGAAAAGCUCCCAUUCACCCUUUAUGCUUAUCGGACAUCUGUCAAAACUUCUACCGGGGUAACACCUUUUUCAUUGGUUUAUGGGAUGGAGGCAGUCUUACCUAUGGAGGUUGAAAUCCCUUCUCUCCGAGUUUUAUCAGAGUUGAAGUUAGACGAAGCAGAAUGGAUCCAAUCCCGUUAUUAUCAACUAAACCUGAUUGAAGAGAAGAGGCUGAAGGCUAUUCAUCAUGGUCGAAUGUACCAGAAGAGAAUAAUUCGAGCUUACAAUAAAAAAGUUCGCCCUAGGGUAUUCCAUGAGGGGGAUUUAGUAUUGAAAAAUAUUUUCCCUAUGCAAAAAGAUUUCAGGGGAAAAUGGAUGCCAAAUUGGGAAAGACCCUAUGUGGUAAAAAAGGCUUUCUCUAGAGGGGCAUUGAUAUUAGCAGAGAUGGAUGGCAAGAGCUUGUCUAACCCGAUAAAUUCAGAUUCUGUCAAAAGAUAUUUUGCUUGAAACAACUGAGGUGAAAACCCGUAAAGGGCGCCUAAAAAAAAGGCCAAGGUUAAAACCCGUAAAGGGCGCCUUGAGACCAAAGGAGUUUUGAAUUGAAAACCCGCAAAGGGCAAUUCAAAUUUCGAUUCAGACUGGGGCAAGUGACAGUCUCGCUAUACUUGAAUCAAUAAAGAAGGGAUGGGCUACAUCUUGGGGCAUCGACAAAAUACUAUAGAUCCCUUAAGCACAUGCCAAGUUUAGAAUGGUCCUCGAGGAGUUCGUGCAGAGAAGCUCAAACUGCGGAAUCUGGGGCACUAUUUGUUCUCUUUAUCCAUUUUUUUGUAUUUCAAGUAAUGAAUGUUUUCUUUGUUUAGUACAUCUUUCGCGAAUUUUGACUCGAAUAAAUUUUAGUUCUACCUACCCUUAUAAUCUUUUUCAAGCAUUUUAUUGAAAUAAUGAUUAUGAACUAACAAUGCUCUCAAAAAUAGGUUUUACGUAUUACUCUGAAAGAUUUCUAAACAAUACAAGAUCCUGAAAUAGGACAAUUAUUUAAAACUCACCAAGCUUAAAGGGCUAGAAACAUGUGAGGGAUAAGGGAUUAACCACAUCUUCAAGUCCUUUUUUAUCGAUUUGAACAAGAAGACAUACAUCAGGGUUGUUACCAUAACAAACAGCGAGCGAUGACAACCCAAAUGUCAAAAUGAAUCAUUCUCAUGACAUUUUUGCAUUCAUAAUGCAUCAAGUUAGGAGCAUUUGAUCAUGUCAUCCUAAUCAUAUACAUCUAGUUAGGAGCAUUCGAUUAUAGCGUCCUAGUCAUUUGGCAUAAGCAUAAAUUCUAGGAAAUCACUUCUUCUACAGAUGAAUCCCCUAGUGGACAGUGUAGCAAGAAUGAUUAAAAUUACAGAGUUUAUCAGCCUUAUCUUCACUGAGCAGGAGUGAAGCAGGUUAAACACAGCAGAUCUUAUCUUCGCUGAGCAUUGGCGGAACAGAUCACAUUGCAGUGAAUCUUAUCUCCAUGUAUCGGCAAUGGAGCAAAUUCUAACCAUCAACCUUAUCUUCACUGAGUAGGAGUGAAGUAGGUUAAACACAGCAGAUCUUAUUUUCACUGAGCAGAAGCGGAGCAAAUCACAUUUUCAGCGAAUCUUAUUUCCAUGUAUCGGCAAUAGAGUAGAUUCCAACCAUUAACCUUAUUUUCACUGAGCAGGAGUGAAGCAGGUUAAACAUAUUAGCCUUAUCUUCACUGAGCAGGGGUGGAGCAGGCUAAGUAUAGCAGAUCUUAUCUUCGCUGGGCAGGAGCGAAGCAGAUCACAUUUUCAACAAAUCUUAUCUCCAUGUAUCGGUAAUGGAGCAUAUUCCAACCAUCGACCUUAUCUUCACUGAGCAGGAGUGAAGCAGGUUAAACAUAUCAGCCUUAUCUUCACUGAACAGGAGUGGAGCAGGCUAAACAUACCAGAUCUUAUCUUCGAUGAGCAAAAGUGGAGCAGAUCGUAUCUCUACAAAACAACAAUGAAACAUCCGGAAGCAAUAGGAUGUAGUGGGUUAGAACAAGGCUACUUGAAGAAAAGAGACAAUCAAGAAGUCAAGACAUGACGGGGCCAGGCAAAAUUGGCCCUUCUAAGUCUUUGCUUUAUUCUCGUUACACGAUAAUGAGCAAAGAAGGGCAACUGUUGGACCUAAUUUUACCUAGCCCAAGACCCAUUUACAUCUAAAACACAGACCCAAACAAUUAAACCCAAUACAAGCCCAUUACCCAAGAUCUAACAGAACACAAAAGAAAAAGGAGGAAGCAAAACCUUAGCCCCACUUCUCAGCGCCGCAAGCCCCGAGUCCGAGUGCCGCCCAUCGCGCAUCUCCGAGUCAUGCGCUCGUCUACCUCUGAGAUAGCUGCGAUUACACCUAUGAAGAGAGGCCGAACAUUCGGCCACCAAAACGGUUGUAAAAAGGCUUUAAAAGCCGAGAACACAAAUGUAAAAGGGGGAUUUUUUUUCUUUACGAAAUCAGGAGAGAAAUACAUAAAAGAAAGAAAGAUAGCAAGUUUUUUUUUGAAACAGAACUUCCAUACAUUCGAAUAAGGUGAUUAUAGUCCUCCUA
rnacentral:lncRNA from 1 species